UUUGUACUUCCUCUGUCCCAAAAUUCUUGUCUUAAAUUUGUCUAAAUACGGAUGUAUCUAGUUACAUUUUAGUGUUAGAUACAUCCAUAUCUAAACAAAUGUAAGACAAGAAUUUUGGGACGGAGGGAAUACUAC
rnacentral:pre_miRNA from 1 species